AUUGAGUGACGGAAAUUGAGUGAUAAAAUUUUUGCAUCCAAACAGCCUCUUAGUUAUUUUGUAGGGGAAGGCUUUGCCAGCCAGCCCUUGAAACUCUGUCUCCAAUUGAGCGCAUCUUGGCACUUUUUUUUUUAUCCAUAUGUACUCCUACCUGUAUUCUCUAUUUGUUAGCAAUUCAGAAAUUUUUACUAAAAAUUUUCCUACCAAAACUAAAUGGAAUAUGAAUAAAUAGCACCUCAGAAAGAUGUCACUUUAUUCUCUGUUUGUCUUUUAACAUUUUGAAUGAUUCCAGGAAUAUAGGUCUAAUGCAGAAGAUUAACGAUUGACCUGUCAAGGUUUCACCUUGGUUUGACUGUGGUUUUCAAAGAGCUUUUCUACUCAUAACAGAUUUCCAGUAACCGCAUUUUUUGCGCCUAUCUCAAUCGUGUGUAAAGUGUUGCUCAAGAUGGAGGAUUGGCAUGCCUUUCCGUUGAAGGUUUGAAGUGUCUGCUGGAAUUCAAAACCUCUAAGGUUCUGAAAGCUGAAAAUUUGAAAUGGGUUGCCAAAGGAAGGUAUUUGAAGUUGAGAAGAAUUGGGACUAUAGAGUCUGUUCAUAAGACUAUUCAGGGAUGCAGCGAACACAUGGGAAGUGGACACUGAAUUUAAACCACCUGAUGUACUUUUCUGCAGUUUUCUUGGAUGUAUAGCACAUGAUCAUAUAUUGGAGGGAUGCAGCAAACACAUGGGAAGUGGACACUGCAUUUAAACCAUCUGGUGUACUUUUAAGCAGUUUUCUUGGAAGUAUAGCACCUGACAUGAUCAUAUAUUGGAUGAUUUCCAGAAAUAUUUUGUGAAGGUAAUGCUGAAAGUCUUUAAUUUGGAGCUGCAUUAUGGGGAAUUUAUCUUGUUGCAACAAAAGUGAUGAUUGGUGGUACCUAGUGAUUUAAUGGGUAUUUGGAGCAAAAGAAGUUUGGAUCACUCGCAUAUGAGUUUUUAGGCAAGAAGACAUGGAUGGAAAAUAGCCUUACAAUUAAACCCAAGUGGGAUUGCUGGUAAUGGUGAGCAAGAGAGCCUCAAUGGCAACAACCUUGACUUUGGUUGCACUUUAUUGGGUAGAAUUGAAGCAUUGUUCUGAUGCAAAUUGUUGUUUACAAUAAUAUGUUCCUGAAUUGAUCCUACUACAACAGCUAAGGGCUCCAGAUCAGAGCCACCUAUAAUAAUAUAAACUUCAGCUCAACAUAAAUCUGAAUUCUCGUAGCCUUUGAAAUGCAAGCAGCUCUUCAAGUAUCCAAGACAAAAUAAGAUGAAAAGAAAACAUUCCAGAUUAUGAAUCAUAAUCGUAUUCCUCAGCACCCUCUUCAGCAAUAGGCUCAAGCCUUGGUGAAUUGGAAGGCUUCUUCAGAGGGUAAAUAAUGGGAGCAGGGGCUACCCCAGCCCAAUAAUUCUAGUUUAUGAUCUCCUUAGCCAUUGAAGGUUGAUAUAAAGAGAAACAAAUUCUGUAAAUAAUUCCUGUUGAUUUUUUUUUCUCUUUUCCUUGUAUUUAAAGAAAAAGGAGAGAGAUGGGAUUUCCUUAGAAUCGUUCUAGGAGUUUUUGAGUAACGCAGAGCACAAGAAAUUGACUGUGAUGAAUAUAAACUUGGGGCUCUUAUUAAUAUAGGAAGAGGAAGUGCAAAACAAAUAGGAAAAAUAUAUCUAAAAGGAAGAAACAAAGAAAGUUCUGAGUCA